rnacentral:lncRNA from 1 species
AAAAAUUCAAUUUUUAUAAACAAAUUAGAGAGUCCAAUUAAUUAGGAGUAGUUAGUUACGAUGGAUUAGAGUGCAGUAGUCAUGGGAAAAUAAUUUCUUGGGAGAGUGCAUGAGUAAAUCUACUUAAAAUUGGGUCAACAUUUAUUAGUGGAAAAUAAUUAUUGUGGAGAAAAUCUAGAAUCCAAUUAAUUGGUAGACAAGGGUAAAAUAGACAAAAUGUAUCCUUAAACUAUGAAAUGGACAUGUAUUUUGAAACAAAAAAUUUCUCUAAAAUGGACAUGUAUUUUGAAACGGAG